CCAAGGAGUCUAACAUGUGCGCGAGUCAUUGGGACAUAUGAAACCUAAAGGCGCAAUGAAAGUGAAGGUACAGCCUCGCGCUUACCGAGGGAGGAUGGGCCGCGUCACGAUGCGGCCCCGCACUCCCGGGGCGUCUCGUUCUCAUUGCGAGAUGAGGCGCACCCAGAGCGUACACGUUGGGACCCGAAAGAUGGUGAACUAUGCCUGGUCAGGACGAAGUCAGGGGAAACCCUGAUGGAGGUCCGUAGCGAUUCUGACGUGCAAAUCGAUCGUCGGAACUGGGUAUAGGGGCGAAAGACUAAUCGAACCAUCUAGUAGCUGGUUCCCUCCGAAGUUUCCCUCAGGAUAGCUGGCACUCGCGUGCUCAAAGUACACGAGUCUCAUCCGGUAAAGCGAAUGAUUAGAGGCCUUGGGGCCGAAACGACCUCAACCUAUUCUCAAACUUUAAAUGGGUGAGAUCUCUGGCUUGCUCGAACGUUGAAGCCACGAGAUUUCGGAUCAGAGUGCCAAGUGGGCCACUUUU
rnacentral:rRNA from 1 species